AACGAACGCUGGCGGCAGGCCUAACACAUGCAAGUCGAACGCCCCGCAAGGGGAGUGGCGCACGGGUGAGUAACGCGUGGGAACCUGCCCUUCGGUUCGGGACAACCCAGGGAAACUUGGGCUAAUACCGGAUGAGCUCCGCGAGGAGGAAAGAUUUCUCGCCGGAGGAGGGGCCCGCGUCGGAUUAGGUAGUUGGUGAGGUAACGGCUCACCAAGCCUUCGAUCCGUAGCCGGUCUGAGAGGAUGAUCGGCCACACUGGGACUGAGACACGGCCCAGACUCCUACGGGAGGCAGCAGUGGGGAAUAUUGGACAAUGGGGGCAACCCUGAUCCAGCCAUGCCGCGUGGAUGAUGAAGGCCUUCGGGUUGUAAAGUCCUUUCGCGCACGACGAUGAUGACGGUAGUGCGAGAAGAAGCCUCGGCUAACUCCGUGCCAGCAGCCGCGGUAAU
rnacentral:rRNA from 1 species